CCUAGAAAAAAUCUGAGGUGACACCUGCCCAAUGGUUUCAAAAAUUAAUAUAGAUACUAUUAAAGAAACUUAAAGGACGCAGUAACUUGACUGUGGUAAAGUAGCAUAAUCACUUGCCAUUUAAUUGGUGGAUAGUAUGAAUGGUUACACGAGCCCUCCACUAUCUAAAAAAGAGGAAUCAUGAAAUUAAAAUAAUAGUUAAGAUACUAUUUAAAAUUGUAAGACGAAAAGACCCUAUAGAGCUUAACUAUAUUCUUCCUUAAGGUAAAGAUAACACUACACAAAAUAGGAAGAAGGUUAGUUUAGUUGGGGCGACUACCUUCUAAAAAUAACGAAGGCAAGCUAAGUUAAUAAAAAAACUUACUGUAUAAUAAAUAAAUUUAACAGUUAUCACAAUAGGCUAUAAUGACCCGUUAACACUUAGUAACGAGAUUAACGAUCAAUAAAUAAAAGUUACCUUAGGGAUAACAGAAUAAUUUUACCCUAGAGACCCUAUCGAAGGUAAAGCUUAUCACCUCUAUGUUGAAUUAAGAUACCCAAGCAGCGCAGAAGCCGCUAAAGGUAGGUCUGUUCGACCUUUAAAAU
rnacentral:rRNA from 1 species